UACGGGGGGAGCAAGCGUUGUUCGGAUUUACUGGGCGUAAAGGGCGCGUAGGCGGUCAGCACAAGUCAGUUGUGAAAUCUCCGGGCUUAACUCGGAAAGGUCAACUGAUACUGUGCGACUAGAGUGCAGAAGGGGCAACUGGAAUUCUCGGUGUAGCGGUGAAAUGCGUAGAUAUCGAGAGGAACACCAGAGGUGAAGACGGGUUGCUGGGCCGACACUGACGCUGACAGCGCGAAAGCCAGGGGAGCAAACGGG
rnacentral:rRNA from 1 species